rnacentral:rRNA from 1 species
UACGAAGGGGGCUAGCGUUGCUCGGAAUCACUGGGCGUAAAGCGCACGUAGGCGGCUUUUUAAGUCAGAGGUGAAAUCCUGGAGCUCAACUCCAGAACUGCCUUUGAUACUGGAGAGCUUGAGUCCGGGAGAGGUGAGUGGAACUGCGAGUGUAGAGGUGAAAUUCGUAGAUAUUCGCAAGAACACCAGUGGCGAAGGUCGGACUCACUGGCCCGGUACUGACGCUGAGGUGCGAAAGCGUGGGGAGCAAACAGGG